GUUGUAAGAGAUAAAACGCCCAAUCUGCAUGUUGCUCUUGCAUUUGGUUUCAUGGCUCAUUAAAAUGACAUAUUAUGAUGUACUUUACUUGCUUUGGUUUCUCUGCUGAAAUGUUGAUCAAUGUGUUCCUCAAUGAAAUGAAAUGUUUGUCAUUGUCUUCUCCUGCUACCUGAAAAAGGAAGGUCUACUGAAUCUCUACUAGUAGACACCAUUGAUCUCCACUGAUUUACAAGAAUAAUAAUGUGAAACCAAUGAAAACAUGAUGGCAUGCAGCACAGAUGGAAGUAGUGAAUUCUGGCAUUAAACAACUGAGAGGAAGGUGCUAAAGUGGAUGGCUCCCUUUAUGGAAGAAUGAUGGAUGGUAGAAACUCUAUUGGGGGAAGGAAAAGAAGAAAAAAAUAGUUUCUCAACUGAACUGGUAUAUCAGCUGUUUCCUGCAGAUUUAGUGAUAAUUCAUCUAUCUUCUCAUGAAGACUGAGGAUUACAAGAAACUAUGCUAGAAGCUUCUAUAAGAGGACUGUCCCUUUUGAUGGAUCGUGACAUCUGACACUCCAUUGGUCCUUAAGGUGAAUUUGACUAAGUAUUUAGUUAAAUCAAACUGCUUGUUAUAACAUAGCCCUGUUAUGAUAACUCUUUUCUUAAAAUAAAAACCCUUGUUGGCUUCUAGAAAUCAUCAUUUUUCUUCUUUUUUUUUCCUGAAAAAGACAUUAUUUUAUUAUUUUUUAUGGCUGAGUAGUAUUCCAUGAUGUAUAUA
rnacentral:lncRNA from 1 species